UUUUAUGAGUUGCUGGGGUAGCUGAUCGGUACUGUCUGCCCUUGGGAAGAAAUGAGGUGAGGAAAAAGAUAUGCAAAGGAAUGGACUCCUGGAUGGGCCUGUCUUCUCAGCAGAGGAGGAGGUCAAAAACAGGCGCCACUGGCGUGCUAAAAUCCUCCAGGAGCAGUUCUUACCUUGCCAGACGGGGUCUGUUUAUUUGGAUCAAACUGAGAAGAAACUUUGGAUUUGCUGUUUCCUGAAAGUUGAGUGGUCUGGCAUAUUUACCAUAAACACAGUGGAAGAAGGUUAAGAGGAAUUACAAUAUCAAUCUUGUGGAGGUUUCGGAAGUGAGGUAGACACUAAUAGCCAAGCUAAGGUGAACCGGAAAGAAGUCAGGACUUAAUAUAAAGCACAGGGCAAGCCCCCUAAGAUAUCCAAGGAAGAUCCUGACCACAAGCAGGGGCAUCGUUUUUCAAAGGAAAAAGGAGAAAAGCUGGCACAUACCACGACCUGCUGUCGGACGGAGACAGCCUGUUCUGCUGCAGCUUUGCACGCCUCCUUUGCCUGUUCCCGGGCAGCUGCAAGGGAGAGAACUUGUCUCUGGAGUUGGUGAAUCCAGCAACCACCCUCCCCUCCAUCUCCAUCCCCCUCUGACUUGGCCUAGCCAGAGGGGUUGUCAUGGCUGAUUCCUCCUCCCUCUCAGGUCCCCGGUCCCCCAUCUCUGCAGGACAGGCUGCCUCAGAGCUCAGGCUCAGGUGCUCUGCCCACCUUCACCUACACGUGAGCUGAUCCUCCCCAGCCCUGCCUGCUCCUCUUCUGUGAACCCAAAUGCUCAGUGGCCUGUGGACCUGAGGGCGUUUAACAGGAUCGUCACCAUCACCAUCGUGGAAGGUCACUGCAGGUCUCGUCAAUGUCGCAUUCAUUAGACUGCCUUCUCCAGCCACCAACGAGACAGCUACAGCACCUCCAGCACUCCCCACCAAUCUCUCUGCACAGCACCUGCUGCCAUCUGCCAGGAUAGAUACUGAUUGUCCACCAUCCCUCAGCAGAAGGGAAGCCCCACAGGGGCUUCAUUCAUAGCCGUAUCUGGCACUUGGCUGAAACAGCGGGUGUGCAACAGCCAUCCUUUAACAGCCGACUGAGUUGCAAGGAAGUGAGUGUUACCUGUUUGCUCAGCUGCCUUCUUCUUGACAGCUUCUUUAGAGUCUUUUUGUACUUGUACCUGGGCCAGCUUCCAACGGUUGCUGAUCUAUAAUGAAAGCAAAUAUAACAAAAAAAACCCUCCAAAGUCAGCCACCUAAGUCUGUCUUACUUUUCAUGAGGUGACGAAGGGCAGGUUAACCUAAGAAGUACACACAUUCUAAGUCAUAAAUUUUCAAAUCUAAGGGCAUGAAAAAUAAAUUUCAUGCUGGCUUUAUUGCUAAAAUCCCUAUUAAGGACAAAUGGCGUUACAACACAUGGAGGUGACACUGGGCAUAACACACAGGACGUGCAGUUGUUCAGUGUGACCUAACCCGUUGGGGGAAAAGAGGAGAGAAGGCAGAAGCCCCACCUGAUUCCCCAUUUCUAAAAAUAGCAAGCUAACUCAGGGACAGGAAUAGGGCUGGGGGACCUCGCGGUUUUGCCUAACAAAAGAGCUCUGCUGCCACACAGAGGAAGCCAGUCGCCCAUGUCAUCAGAGCAGACGCUUCCUAAAGGGAGGAAGGAGGCUGCGAACAACAGUUCACAUGCUGGCUCUGGGGAACAUCUCAAGAGGGUCUAGGGGAGGUGUGCUCUCAUUCUUACUCAUAAUGCUGGUAAAAACAAGCCAGAUAAGUAAGAUAGAGUGUUUUAAAAUUAAAGCCGUCACCUUUAAGAGCCUUAAAGUAACAG
rnacentral:lncRNA from 1 species